rnacentral:lncRNA from 1 species
AGAAAGUGAAAAAGUUCCACUAUAAUAGAAUUAGGUUAUAGGAACACUUUUGUAUACCUUACCCAGCGCACUCGGCCGGACUACAAAUAGAAAAGGAGAAAAAAAAAAAAAAGAUCACCAUCUCUCUCCUCCUCCUCCGCCGCCGCAACCGACAAGGUAGGGCUCCGGCGGCUGGAGUUCGGUCGCGAGGAUCUCGUCGGAACUGUAAAGGACUACGAUCACCACGUGUCCCUCCGUGAUAGAUCGCUGAAGGAGUGGGUGCCAAAUAUUAAGGCGGCCCUACAUACAGCGACCCCAUAUAUAGUAAUAUUUUUAAAAAGUAUCGGUAAUUUAGUCAACAACGUUUUUUUUUAUCUGUAUUGACAUUUAAAAAUAUCACUAUACACCGUUUUUAUUGUAUGUUCAAACAAAUCCAAAG